GAUGAACGCUAGCUACAGGCUUAACACAUGCAAGUCGAGGGGUAACGAGAGGAAAGCUUGCUUUCCUUGUCGACGACCGGCGCACGGGUGAGUAACGCGUAUCCAACCUGCCCCCAACUAGGGAAUAACCUUGCGAAAGUAAGACUAAUACCCUAUAAUUUCCUCAGAUGUCAUCUGACGAGGAAUAAAGAUUUAUCGGUUGUGGAUGGGGAUGCGUCUGAUCAGUUUGUUGGCGGGGUAACGGCCCACCAAGGCUACGAUCAGUAGGGGUUCGGGGAGUAAGGACCCCUAGAUUGGAACUGCGACACGGUCCAAGCUCGUACGGGAGGCAGCGGAGAGGAAUAUUGGUCAAUGGGCGGAAGCCUGAACCAGCCAAGUAACGUGCAGGAGGACGGCCCUAUGGGUUGUAAACUGCUCUUAUACAGGAAUAAAGUUAGCCACGUGUGGUUAUUUGUAGGUACUGUAUGAAUAAGGACCGGCUAAUUCCGUGCCAGCCGCCGCAGUAA
rnacentral:rRNA from 1 species